rnacentral:rRNA from 1 species
GACAGAGGGUGCAAACGUUGUUCGGAAUUACUGGGCGUAAAGCGCGUGUAGGCGGUCGUACAAGUCGGGUGUGAAAGCCCAGGGCUCAACCCUGGAAGUGCAUUCGAUACUGUAUGGCUAGAGUCCCGGAGAGGAUGGUGGAACUCUCGGUGUAGAGGUGAAAUUCGUAGAUAUCGAGAAGAACACCGGUGGCGAAGGCGGCCAUCUGGACGGUGACUGACGCUGAGACGCGAAAGCGUGGGGAGCAAACAGG